UUUGCUUGCGGUUUCUUUAAAACUAGUUGUAGUUUAUUUAUUUCUUCAGUUUCCGAGUGUACGUUAUUUCAAGGUAAAUCCUACCCAUUAUUUUCCUCCGUGCUGCAGGUUAAGGUGAUAUUUUUACACUUUAUUCAGUUGCACAAUAAUCCUCAACUGUCCCUUUUAUUUACGGACCAUACUGGAAGAGUAACGUGAGAUAAAGUUAAGAUUCAUACCGUGUUUUGCUUGGCCAAGUUCACUGGUCUUAAAUGGAAUCAAGGACUUCCUAUUCAGUGCAGAUGACCCUUGUUUCCUACAGGACGAUGCCUUACCCAAGCUGCAUUAGCUUGUGCUGAAGUAUCAAGUGUCAUAGAGGCUAAUCACACAGACGAGAAGAAGAGGCUUCAAUCGGCAGUGACAUCGCAGAGGAUUCUGAGGAUUACUUGUGCUGGGUCCCUCUCCCCCUUUGGCACUGCACUGGAGAAUAGACAGAUUAAGGGGAUUAGCUUGUAUCCUCCUAACUUGUCAAGCUGGGAUGUAAGGAUCCAUUGACUUCGCUGUUCUGAAUGAGAGAAGUGGCUAAAAAAGAGAGAAAUGAAAGGCGGUGAACAAGAAAAAUUCCUGGAAGAACAAUGUGAUUUGUUUGCUUUUGUUCCUUUUAACUCGGCCGGUUCAAAGGGUCUCACCUAAGAAGCCGCGGUCCUGAGUCAGAGAGAGAUAUGUUGCAGGAAUAAAGCGAGUGAGAGCCCUCAGCUAUGGCUGUCAAAAUAACAUUUAGCACUGAACAAACAAGUUUACUUGAGAGAUUACGCUGAUUUUGCUGGGAUCAGUGCUUGUCAGCUUUCUGGAUGACACAGUGUUCUCAGGCUGUGUUUGAAAUAUGAACGACACAAACUUUACAGGGACAAACUGUAGUUCAGGAGGGCCUGUUCGGGUCCAGUGUUUUCACAACAUCCUGACUGAUAAGACGCCUCUGCUUUUUCUUUUCUUUUUCUUUUUUUGUUUGUUUUUAAAGGUGGUGUCGAUGUGUCCAGUCACUGUAUAUGUGUGAUAUGGAAUGUGGUGACUGAAAAUAAAAGUCAACUUUAAAAAAAAAAAAAAA